UACGUAGGAGGCAAGCGUUGUCCGGAAUUACUGGGCGUAAAGCGCGUGUAGGUGGUGGGACAAGUCUGCUGUGAAAGCGCCUGGCUUAACCGGGCGAGGUCGGCGGAAACUGUCCGACUCGAGGACGGUAGAGGGGGGUGGAAUUCCCGGUGUAGUGGUGAAAUGCGUAGAUAUCGGGAGGAAUACCAGUGGCGAAGGCGGCUUCCUGGCCUGUUCUUGACGCUGAGGCGCGAAAGCUAGGGUAGCAAACGGG
rnacentral:rRNA from 1 species